GGUUCGAUUAUGGCUCAGAUUGAACGCUGGCGGGAUGCUUUACACAUGCAAGUCGAACGGCAGCACGGACUUCGGUCUGGUGGCGAGUGGCGAACGGGUGAGUAAUGUAUCGGAACGUGCCUAAAGUAGCGGGGGAUAACUACGCGAAAGCGUAGCUAAUACCGCAUACGCCCUUCGGGGAAAGCGGGGGACCUUCGGGCCUCGCACUAUUAGAGCGGCCGAUAUCGGAUUAGCUAGUUGGUGGAGUAACGGCUCACCAAGGCGACGAUCCGUAGCUGGUUUGAAGAGAGGACGACCAGCCACACUGGGACUGAGACGGCAGACUCCUACGGGAGGCAGCAGUGGGGAAUUUUGGACAAUGGGGAAACCCUGAUCCAGCCAUCCCGCGUGUGCGAUGAAGGCCUUCGGGUUGUAAAGCACUUUUGGCAGGGAAAGAAACGGCACGGGAUAAUACCCCGUGCAACUGACGGUACCGCAGAAUAAGCACCGGCUAACUACGUGCCAGCAGCCGCGGUAAUACGUAGGGUGCAAGCGUUAAUCGGAAUUACUGGGCGUAAAGCGUGCGCAGGCGGUUCGGAAGAAAGAUGUGAAAUCCCAGAGCUUAACUUUGGAACUGCAUUUUUAACUACCGAGCUAGAGUGUGUCCAGGAGGUGGAAUUCCGCGUGUAGCAGUGAAAUGCGUAGAUAUGCGGAGGAACACCGAUGGCGAAGGCAGCCUCCUGGGAUAACACUGACGCUCAUGCACGAAAAGCGUGGGGAGCAAACAGGAUUAGAUACCCUGGUAGUCCACGCCUAAACGAUGUCAACUAGCUGUUGGGGCCUUCGGGCCUUGGUAGCGCAACGCGUGAAGUUGACCGCCUGGGGAGAGUACGGUCGCAAGAUUAAAACUCAAAGGAAUUGACAGGGACCCGCACAAGCGGUGGAUGAUGUGGAUUAAUUCGAUGCAACGCGAAAAGCCUUACCUACCCUUGACAUGUCUAGGUCGAAGAGAUUUGGGAGUGCUCGCAAGAGAACCGGAACACAGGUGCUGCAUGGCUGUCGUCAGCUCGUGUCGUGAGAUGUUGGGUUAAGUCCCGCAACGAGCGCAACCCUUGUCGUGGAUUUGCUACGAAAGGGCACUCUAAUGAGACUGCCGGUGACAAACCGGAGGAAGGUGGGGAUGACGUCAAGUCCUCAUGGCCCUUAUGGGUAGGGCUUCACACACGUCAUACAAUGGUCGGGACAGAGGGUCGCCAACCCGCGAGGGGAGCCAAUCCCAGAAACCCGAUCGUAGUCCGGAUCGCAGUCUGCAACUCGACUGCGUGAAGUCGGAAUCGCUAGUAAUCGCGGAUCAGCAUGUCGCGGUGAAUACGUUCCCGGGUCUUGUACACACCGCCCGUCACACCAUGGGAGUGGGUUUUACCAGAAGUAGUUAGCCUAACCGUAAGGAGGGCGGUCGUAGGAUUCAUGACUGGGGUGAAGUCGUAACAAAGGUAG
rnacentral:rRNA from 1 species